UACGUAGGUGGCAAGCGUUACUCGGAAUCACUAGGCGUAAAGCGCAGGUAGGCGGUUCGGUAAGUCUCUUGUGAAAGCUCCCGGCUCAACUGGGAGAGGUCAAGGGAAACUACCGGGCUAGAGUGUGGUAGAGGGUAGCGGAAUUCCCGGUGUAGCAGUGAAAUGCGUAGAGAUCGGGAGGAACAUCCAUGGCGAAGGCAGCUACCUGGACCAACACUGACACUGAGGCACGAAAGCGUGGGGAGCGAACAGG
rnacentral:rRNA from 1 species